rnacentral:rRNA from 1 species
UACGUAGGGGGCAAGCGUUGUCCGGAUUUAUUGGGCGUAAAGAGCGUGUAGGCGGCCACACAGGUCAGCUGUGAAAACUCGAGGCUCAACCUCGAGACGUCGGUUGAAACCGUAUGGCUAGAGUCCGGAAGAGGAGAGUGGAAUUCCCGGUGUAGCGGUGAAAUGCGUAGAGAUCGGGAGGAACACCAGAGGCGAAGGCGGCGACCUGGACAGGUACUGACACUCAACUACGAAAGCGUGGGGAGCAAACAGG